AUGUACAUUCCUACAAUAUAGCAUUAAUGCACCAGAUCCCAUUAGAACUUCAUAGUUAAGUGUGCUCAGGCUAGAGUAGUCCUCGGAUGGGUGACCUCCCAGGAAGUCCUAGUGUUUUACAUG
rnacentral:rRNA from 1 species